rnacentral:rRNA from 1 species
AGCUACAGGCUUAACACAUGCAAGUCGAGGGGCAGCAUUUCAGUUUGCUUGCAAACUGGAGAUGGCGACCGGCGCACGGGUGAGUAACACGUAUCCAACCUGCCGAUAACUCGGGGAUAGCCUUUCGAAAGAAAGAUUAAUACCCGAUGGCAUAAUUAGACCGCAUGGUCUUAUUAUUAAAGAAUUUCGGUUAUCGAUGGGGAUGCGUUCCAUUAGGCAGUUGGUGAGGUAACGGCUCACCAAACCUUCGAUGGAUAGGGGUUCUGAGAGGAAGGUCCCCCACAUUGGAACUGAGACACGGUCCAAACUCCUACGGGAGGCAGCAGUGAGGAAUAUUGGUCAAUGGACGAGAGUCUGAACCAGCCAAGUAGCGUGAAGGAUGACUGCCCUAUGGGUUGUAAACUUCUUUUAUAUGGGAAUAAAGUUUUCCACGUGUGGAAUUUUGUAUGUACCAUAUGAAUAAGGAUCGGCUAACUCCGUGCCAGCAGCCGCGGUAAUACGGAGGAUCCGAGCGUUAUCCGGAUUUAUUGGGUUUAAAGGGAGCGUAGGUGGACAGUUAAGUCAGUUGUGAAAGUUUGCGGCUCAACCGUAAAAUUGCAGUUGAUACUGGCUGUCUUGAGUACAGUAGAGGUGGGCGGAAUUCGUGGUGUAGCGGUGAAAUGCUUAGAUAUCACGAAGAACUCCGAUUGCGAAGGCAGCUCACUGGACUGCAACUGACACUGAUGCUCGAAAGUGUGGGUAUCAAACAGGAUUAGAUACCCUGGUAGUCCACACAGUAAACGAUGAAUACUCGCUGUUUGCGAUAUACAGUAAGCGGCCAAGCGAAAGCAUUAAGUAUUCCACCUGGGGAGUACGCCGGCAACGGUGAAACUCAAAGGAAUUGACGGGGGCCCGCACAAGCGGAGGAACAUGUGGUUUAAUUCGAUGAUACGCGAGGAACCUUACCCGGGCUUAAAUUGCAUUUGAAUAAUCUGGAAACAGGUUAGCCGCAAGGCAAAUGUGAAGGUGCUGCAUGGUUGUCGUCAGCUCGUGCCGUGAGGUGUCGGCUUAAGUGCCAUAACGAGCGCAACCCUUAUCUUUAGUUACUAACAGGUCAUGCUGAGGACUCUAGAGAGACUGCCGUCGUAAGAUGUGAGGAAGGUGGGGAUGACGUCAAAUCAGCACGGCCCUUACGUCCGGGGCUACACACGUGUUACAAUGGGGGGUACAGAAGGCAGCUACCUGGUGACAGGAUGCUAAUCCCAAAAGCCUCUCUCAGUUCGGAUCGAAGUCUGCAACCCGACUUCGUGAAGCUGGAUUCGCUAGUAAUCGCGCAUCAGCCAUGGCGCGGUGAAUACGUUCCCGGGCCUUGUACACACCGCCCGUCAAGCCAUGAAAGCCGGGGGUACCUGAAGUACGUAACCGCAAGGAGCGUCCUAGGGUAAAACUGGUAAUUGGGGCUAAGUCGUA